rnacentral:rRNA from 1 species
GAUGAACGCUGGCGGCGUGCCUAAUACAUGCAAGUCGAGCGAACAGACGAGGAGCUUGCUCCUUCGACGUUAGCGGCGGACGGGUGAGUAACACGUAGGUAACCUACCUAUAAGACUGGGAUAACUUCGGGAAACCGGAGCUAAUACCGGAUAAUAUUUCGAACCGCAUGGUUCGAUAGUGAAAGAUGGCUUUGCUAUCACUUAUAGAUGGACCUGCGCCGUAUUAGCUAGUUGGUAAGGUAACGGCUUACCAAGGCAACGAUACGUAGCCGACCUGAGAGGGUGAUCGGCCACACUGGAACUGAGACACGGUCCAGACUCCUACGGGAGGCAGCAGUAGGGAAUCUUCCGCAAUGGGCGAAAGCCUGACGGAGCAACGCCGCGUGAGUGAUGAAGGUCUUCGGAUCGUAAAACUCUGUUAUUAGGGAAGAACAAACGUGUAAGUAACUGUGCACGUCUUGACGGUACCUAAUCAGAAAGCCACGGCUAACAACGUG